GGAGAUAUAGUUGAAUUAUACAACAUUAAAUUGCAAAUUUAAAAGUAUAUUAUAAUAAUAUUAUUUCUU
rnacentral:tRNA from 1 species